CAGCCAAGUGUAACAGAGACAGCCUGCCACAACCCACCUUUACACACACACACACAGUCACCACACACAUGCACAUUUCCAGAAUGAUCCAGCUUUGUUGCACUGCUUGGCAAAAAUACUCUGUUCCUGCUCCCCUGUCUCUCGUCCACAUUGAUACAAAUCAUAGAUUGAUAAGGUACUAAGAUGUAGAAUGUCUCCAUCAAAUCCAAUACCACAGUGUCAUCUUUGGUAGGAUAGAUGGAUUUUCAAGGAAGAGUGGGAGCUGAUCAAGGGGUCUAAAAUGUAGAUAUUGCCAGAUGUAUGUUCACUGUCCGAGGAACAGGCCGUGGAAGCUGCGUGAAGUGUCCAGAACCAGAGCAUUCCAGAUUCAGUAUGUGGAGGACCUGCUUUAUCAGGAGAAUCAUCUGGAAUCUAGAAAAACUGACAAUGGGGUCACUGUUCCUGACCUCCCAUAUGCCCCCUGUCUACUGAGAAUAUUGCUGUGCUGCAACGUCAAGUGAACCCAACAUAUACAGCUCUGGAAAAAAUGAAGAGACCACUGCAAAAUGAUCCGUUUCUCUGGUUUUACUAUUUAUAGCUCUGUGUUUGGGUCCAAAUUUCACAGUGGGUGCGAGACACUGUGGCUUGUAGGCCUCUCCAGGUCUCGCACCCACUGUGACAUUCGGUUGUCCUGGAAGAAAACGUGCUUCCUUCUGCGCUGACAAUGUUUCCCAACUCUGAGGAUUGUUUUUUCCAGCAGGACAAUGCUUCAUGCCACACAGCCAGGUCAAUCAAGGUGUGGAUGGAGGACCACCAGAUCAAGACCCUGAACCAGCCCAAUCUCCAGACCUGAACCCCAUUGAAAACCUCUGGAAUGUGAUCAAGAGGAAGAUGGAUGGUCACAAGCCAUCAAACAAAGUCGAGCUGCUUGGAUCUUUGCGCCAGGAGUGGCAUAAAGUCACCCAACAUCAAUGUGAAAGAGCAGGCCAAGACGUAUGAAAGCUGUGAUUGAAAAUUAGGGUUAUUCCACCAAAUAUUGAUUUCUGAACUCUUCCUAAGUUAAAACAUUAGUAUUGUGUUGUUUAAAAUGAAUAUGAACUUAUUUCCUUUGCAUUAUUCAAGGUCUGACAACACUGCAUCUUUUUUUAUAUUUUGACCAAUUGUCAGUUUCUGCAAAUAAAUUCUCUAAAUGACAAUAUUUUUACUUGGAAUUUGGGAGAAAUGUCAGUAGUUUAUAGAAUAAAACAAACAUUUUAAUUUUACCCAAACACAUACCAAUAAAGAGUAACUCAUACCUAUAAAUUUACAUGCAUGCUCUUCAGUUAGUUACAGUGCCUUGCGAAAGUAUUCGGCCCCCUUGAACUUUGCGACCUUUUGCCACAUUUCAGGCUUCAAACAUAAAGAUAUAAAACUGUAUUUUUUUGUGAAGAAUCAACAACAAGUGGGACACAAUCAUGAAGUGGAACGACAUUUAUUGGAUAUUUCAAACUUUUAACAAAUCAAAAACUGAAAAAUUGGGCGUGCAAAAUUAUUCAGCCCCCUUAAGUUAAUACUUUGUAGCGCCACCUUUUGCUGCGAUUACAGCUGUAAGUCGCUUGAGGUAUGUCUCUAUCAGUUUUGCACAUCGAGAGACUGAAAUGUUUUCCCAUUCCUCCUUGCAAAACAGCUCAAGCUCAGUGAGGUUGGAUGGAGAGCAUUUGUGAACAGCAGUUUUCAGUUCUUUCCACAGAUUCUUGAUUGGAUUCAGGUCUGGACUUUGACUUGGCCAUUCUAACACCUGGAUAUGUUUAUUUUUGAACCAUUCCAUUGUAGAUUUUGCUUUAUGUUUUGGAUCAUUGUCUUGUUGGAAGACAAAUCUCCGUCCCAGUCUCAGGUCUUUUGCAGACUCCAUCAGGUUUUCUUCCAGAAUGGUCCUGUAUUUGGCUCCAUCCAUCUUCCCAUCAAUUUUAACCAUCUUCCCUGUCCCUGCUGAAGAAAAGCAGGCCCAAACCAUGAUGCUGCCACUACCAUGUUUGACAGUGGGUAUGGUGUGUUCAGGGUGAUGAGCUGUGUUGCUUUUACGCCAAACAUAACAUUUUGCAUUGUUGCUAAAACGUUUUGGUUUCAUCUGACCAGAGCACCUUCUUCCACAUGUUUGGUGUGUCUCCCAGGUGGCUUGUGGCAAACUUUAAACUACACUUUUUAUGGAUAUCUUUAAGAAAUGUCUUUCUUCUUGCCACUCUUCCAUAAAGGCCAGAUUUGUGCAAUAUACGACUGAUUGUUGUCCUAUGGACAGAGUCUCCCACCUCAGCUGUAGAUCUCUGCAGUUCAUCCAGAGUGAUCAUGGGCCUCUUGGCUGCAUCUGUGAUCAGUCUUCUCCUUGUAUGAGCUGAAAGUUUAGAGGGACGGCCAGGUCUUGGUAGAUUUGCAGUGGUCUGAUACUCCUUCCAUUUCAAUAUUAUCGCUUGCACAGUGCUCCUUGGGAUGUUUAAAACUUGGGAAAUCUUUUUGUAUCCAAAUCCGGCUUUAAACUUCUUCACAACAGUAUCUCGGACCUGCCUGGUGUGUUCCUUGUUCUUCAUGAUGCUCUCUGCGCUUUUAACGGACCUCUGAGACUAUCACAGUGCAGGUGCAUUUAUACGGAGACUUGAUUACACACAGGUGGAUUGUAUUUAUCAUCAUUAGUCAUUUAGGUCAACAUUGGAUCAUUCAGAGAUCCUCACUGAACUUCUGGAGAGUGUUUGCUGCACUGAAAGUAAAGGGGCUGAAUAAUUUUGCACGCCCAAUUUUUCAGUUUUUGAUUUGUUAAAAAAGUUUGAAAUAUCCAAUAAAUGUCAUUCCACUUCAUGAUUGUGUCCCACUUGUUGUUGAUUCUUCACAAAAAAAUACAGUUUUAUAUAUUUAUGUUUGAAGCCUGAAAUGUGGCAAAAGGUCGCAAAAUUCAAGGGGGCCGCAUACUUUCGCAAUGCACUGUAUGUGUUAUUUCAUAGUUUUGAUGUCUUCACUCUUAUUCUACAAUGUUGAAAAUAGUAAAAAUAAAGAAAAACCCUUGAAUGAG